rnacentral:rRNA from 1 species
UACGGAGGGUGCGAGCGUUGUCCGGAAUCAUUGGGCGUAAAGCGCACGUAGGCGGUCCGUUAAGUCUCAUAGGUGAAAGGCUGGGGCUCAACCCCAUGCAUGCCGGGGAUACUGGCGGACUGGAGACAGGUAGAGGCGAGCGGAAUUCCGGGUGUAGCGGUGGAAUGCGUAGAGAUCCGGAAGAACACCGGAGGCGAAGGCGGCUCGCUGGACCUGAUCUGACGCUGAGGAGCGAAAGCGUGGGGAGCAAACAGG